GAUGAACGCUGGCGGCGUGCCUAAUACAUGCAAGUCGAGCGAACGGACGAGAAGCUUGCUUCUCUGAUGUUAGCGGCGGACGGGUGAGUAACACGUGGAUAACCUACCUAUAAGACUGGGAUAACUUCGGGAAACCGGAGCUAAUACCGGAUGAUAUUUUGAACCGCAUGGUUCAAAAGUGAAAGACGGUUUUGCUGUCACUAAUAGAUGGAUCCGCGCUGCAUUAGCUAGUUGGUAAGGUAACGGCUUACCAAGGCAACGAUGCAUAGCCGACCUGAGAGGGUGAUCAGCCACACUGGAACUGAGACACGGUCCAGACUCCUACGGGAGGCAGCAGUAGGGAAUCUUCCGCAAAGGGCGAAAGCCUGACGGAGCAACGCCGCGUGAGUGAUGAAGGUCUUCGGAUCGUAAAGCUCUGUUAUUAGGGAAGAACAGAUGUGUAAGUAACUGUGCACGUCUUGACGGUACCUACUCAGAAAGCCACGGCUAACUACGUG
rnacentral:rRNA from 1 species